GCAGGUCGAGCGAAGCUUUUCAGUAGUUUACUACAGAAAAUGACUGAGCGGCGAACGGGUGAGUAACGCGUGAGCAAUCUACCUUAGUUACAGGGAUAGCCCGAGGAAACUCGGAUUAAUACCUGAUAUUCUUUAUUUCUCGCAUGAGAAUAAAAGGAAAGGUCAGCCGAACUAAGAUGAGCUCGCGUUCUAUCAGCUAGUUGGUGAGGUAAAAGCUUACCAAGGCUACGACGGAUAGCUGGUCUGAGAGGACGAUCAGCCACACUGGGACUGAGACACGGCCCAGACUCCUACGGGAGGCUGCAGCAGGGAAUAUUGUGCAAUGAACGAAAGUUUGACACAGCGACACCGCGUGUGGGAUGACGGAUCUAGGUUUGUAAACCACUUUCAGGAGGGAAGAAAAUGACGGUACCUCCACAAGAAGCCCCGGCCAACUACGUGCCAGCAGCCGCGGUAAUACGUAGGGGGCGAGCGUUGUCCGGAUUUAUUGGGCGUAAAGAGCUCGUAGGCGGUUCAACAAGUCGGUCGUGAAAGUUCAGGGCUCAACCCUGAAAUGUCGAUCGAUACUGUUGUGACUAGGAUACGGUAGAGGUGAGUGGAAUUCCGAGCGUACCGGUGAAAUGCGUACAUAUUC
rnacentral:rRNA from 1 species